rnacentral:rRNA from 1 species
UACGGAGGGUGCAAACGUUGCUCGGAAUCAUUGGGCGUAAAGCGCACGUAGGCGGCCUGUUAAGUCGGGUGUGAAAGCCCUGGGCUCAACCCAGGAAGUGCACUCGAAGCUGGCGGGCUUGAAUAUGGAAGAGGGUCGCGGAAUUCCCGGUGUAGAGGUGAAAUUCGUAGAUAUCGGGAGGAACACCAGUGGCGAAGGCGGUUCUCUGGGCCUGUACGUGACGCUGAGGAGCGAAAGCGUGGGGAGCAACAGG